UACGGGGGGGGUAAGCGUUGUUCGGAAUUACUGGGCGUAAAGGGCUCGUAGGCGGCCAACUAAGUCAGACGUGAAAUCCCCCGGCUUAACCUGGGAACUGCGUCUGAUACUGGAAGGCUUGAGUGCGGGAGAGGGAUGUGGAAUUCCAGGUGUAGCGGUGAAAUGCGUAGAUAUCUGGAGGAACACCGGUGGCGAAGGCGGCAUCCUGGACCGACACUGACGCUGAGGCGCGAAAGCUAGGGUAGCAAACGGG
rnacentral:rRNA from 1 species